AGCGAUACUGACGUGCAAAUCGUUCGUCUGACUUGGGUAUAGGGGCGAAAGACUAAUCGAACCAUCUAGUAGCUGGUUCCCUCCGAAGCUCCCCUCAGGAUAGCUGGAGCCCAUUACGAGUUCUAUCAGGUAAAGCCAAUGAUUAGAGGCAUUGGGGACGCAACGUCCUCGACCUAUUCUCAAACUUUAAAUAGGUAGGAUGGCUCGGCUG
rnacentral:ncRNA from 1 species